CAGGCCUAACACAUGCAAGUCGAACGAUGCUUUCGGGCAUAGUGGCGCACGGGUGCGUAACGCGUGGGAAUCUGCCCUUGGGUCUGGGAUAACCGUUGGAAACGACGGCUAAUACCGGAUGAUGACGUAAGUCCAAAGAUUUAUCGCCCAGGGAUGAGCCCGCGUAGGAUUAGCUAGUUGGUGGGGUAAAGGCCUACCAAGGCGACGAUCCUUAGCUGGUCUGAGAGGAUGAUCAGCCACACUGGGACUGAGACACGGCCCAGACUCCUACGGGAGGCAGCAGUGGGGAAUAUUGGACAAUGGGCGAAAGCCUGAUCCAGCAAUGCCGCGUGAGUGAUGAAGGCCUUAGGGUUGUAAAGCUCUUUUACCCGGGAUGAUAAUGACAGUACCGGGAGAAUAAGCCCCGGCUAACUCCGUGCCAGCAGCCGCGGUAAU
rnacentral:rRNA from 1 species